rnacentral:misc_RNA from 1 species
AACUGAUACUACCUGCGGGAACCUGCGGAGGGAUCAUUACAGGACUCGCAAGACUCCUACAACCCUGUGAACUUCACUAUAAGCACGUUGCUUCGGCGGGUGUCGCGGCGCGGGUCUUCCCGCACCGGGGCGCUAAGCCCGCCGGCAGCCUACUAUACUCUGUUUCUCUGCGUUGGCAUCUCGAGAAAAAACAAACAAGUUAAAACUUUCAGCAACGGAUCUCUAGAUCGGAAGAGCACA